rnacentral:rRNA from 1 species
AUUGAACGCUGGCGGCAUGCCUUACACAUGCAAGUCGAACGGUAACAGGUCUUCGGAUGCUGACGAGUGGCGAACGGGCGAGUAAUACAUCGGAACGUGCCCGAGAGUGGGGGAUAACGAGGCGAAAGCUUUGCUAAUACCGCAUACGAUCUCAGGAUGAAAGCAGGGGACCGCAAGGCCUUGCGCUCACGGAGCGGCCGAUGGCAGAUUAGGUAGCUGGUGGGAUAAAAGCUUACCAAGCCGACGAUCUGUAGCUGGUCUGAGAGGACGACCAGCCACACUGGGACUGAGACACGGCCCAGACUCCUACGGGAGGCAGCAGUGGGGAAUUUUGGACAAUGGGCGAAAGCCUGAUCCAGCCAUGCCGCGUGCAGGAUGAAGGCCUUCGGGUUGUAAACUGCUUUUGUACGGAACGAAAAGACUCUGGUUAAUACCUGGGGUCCAUGACGGUACCGUAAGAAUAAGCACCGGCUAACUACGUGCCAGCCGCCGCGGUAAAAC